rnacentral:lncRNA from 1 species
UAGAAACUAUUAAACUAACUUCAGAAUUUCCAGAGAGACGCGAGUUAAUUAAAGCCAUCAGCGUUGCAUUUUUCCAACUGGUCAAUGCCGCGAACAGACAAGCCGAGUCUCAAAAACAUCAUGCCGUUACAGACAAGCUGUCCCAUCAGCGCUGCAUUUUUCCAACCGGUCAAUGCCAUCAGCCUCUAAAAAUCCCACAUCAACGUUACAUUUAAUACAACUGUGAUGUAGCUUUUCC